UAGGGAAUUUUGCGCAAUGGACGAAAGUCUGACGCAGCAACGCCGUGUGAGGGAUGAAGCAUUUCGGUGUGUAAACCUCUGUCGUUGGUGACUAAAGUUUUCAGGAGUGGAAAGCCUGGAGAUUGAAUGUAGCCAAGAAGGAAGCACUGGCUAACUCUGUGCCAGCAGCCGCGGUAAUACAGAGGUCCCAAGCGUUGUUCGGAUUCACUGGGCGUAAAGGGUGCGUAGGUGGCUGGGUAAGUUCGGUGUGAAAUCUCCAGGCUCAACCUGGAAAUGGCAUUGAAUACUAUUCAGCUCGAGGGUUGUAGGGGAGACUGGAAUUCUCGGUGUAGCAGUGAAAUGCGUAGAUAUCGAGUGGAACACCAGUGGCGAAGGCGAUUUCCUGGCCUGAUACUGACGCUGAGGCGCGAAAGCAUGGGGAGCAAACA
rnacentral:rRNA from 1 species